UACGAAGGGGGGCUAGCGUUGCUCGGAAUCACUGGGCGUAAAGGGCGCGUAGGCGGCGUUUUUAAGUCGGGGGUGAAAGCCUGUGGCUCAACCACAGAAUGGCCUUCGAUACUGGGACGCUUGAGUAUGGUAGAGGUUGGUGGAACUGCGAGUGUAGAGGUGAAAUUCGUAGAUAUUCGCAAGAACACCGGUGGCGAAGGCGGCCAACUGGACCAUUACUGACGCUGAGGCACGAAAGCGUGGGGAGCAAACAGG
rnacentral:rRNA from 1 species